rnacentral:rRNA from 1 species
UACGUAGGGGGCAAGCGUUGUCCGGAUUUACUGGGCGUAAAGAGCGUGUAGGCGGCCAAGCAGGUCCGUUGUGAAAACUGGAGGCUUAACCUCCAGACGUCGACGGAAACCGCGUGGCUAGAGUCCGGAAGAGGAGAGUCGGAACUCCUGGUGUAGCGGUGAAUGCGCAGAUAUCAGGAGAACACCGGUGGCGAAGGCGGGCUCUGGCGGCUAACCAGAUCGCGUGAGGAGCGAAAGCGUGGGGAGCGAACAGG